GAGUCAGUGGAGGAUUGUUCUAAGAAGGGAGCCCUAGAGCAAAAGAGGCUGAAAGCAGACAGGCUGGACUGAAUGGGUAUCUCUGCAGUGUUCCUCAGUGGCCAGCAGAGGAAAUUCUAGGGUCCACAGGAUGAGAAAUAGGGAAGAGAAAAAAGAUGAUGGAGCUUGUGGAUUCAGUGGUUAGACGCACAGGUAUCCUAUCAAAUGAUGUGAUGGCAGAAGAGGCCCUGGUCAUCAGUUAAGAACUAUAUCAAAAUCACAGGUGCAACGCAGAGGGCCGCUGAGUCCAAAAUGUUAACAGCCUCACAGCCCAGAGUGGAGAAACCUGCUAGCUGCAGUCUGUCAGCCUAGAGCAGGCUGAUGCCUGAUCCCUCUCAGCCAGUUCCCAGGCAUCUGGGUCGCCUAUACAAGUCUUAAUCAAGUCAUCAUAUCUAGCCAGUGUCUCCUGGAUCCCGUCACUUCUGAAUGAGAAAAAAAAUUGCGGACAAAUUUCUAUCAGCAGGAAGUUGGUGCUCUCCUGCGAGGCUGGAUGAAAAGCCCCUGUGACGUCAGCAGUCUCCUGCCUUCCCACGCCUGCUGCGAGCUCUGAAGCUGCGGGCUUCUCUGUUUAUGCCCCUAGCAGACCACCUGCCCCUCUGAGUCCCGUUCAGGCCCCACAACUGCUUGGGCUGCUCGGGAUGAGCCCAAAGCGUCCUAAUUACGGACAUUGCUAGCUUGUUCUGGUCAAAUAAGAAGGGUCUGCCCCACAUCAAGAAACUCACCGGCACCAGCGAACCCUGGCCUCGCCAUUGUCCCCGCAGUAAGGAGCAUUUGAUUGAGAGCCAGGACAGUUUGCUGGAACUUAUAAAAGCCCGGUUUGAAGGAAGGGGCUGCCUGGCCUCCCUCUACACGACUGAUACUUUCCAAUUUGUAGUAAAGAUUGUGAGAGAUAAACC
rnacentral:lncRNA from 1 species